GCUCCUUGGGCUGCAAAUACAGAAGAUGGCUGGGAGUGUUUAGGGUUGGAGAUGCUGGUAUAAAUGGAAAAGGCAAGACAGCCGCAAAAAGGAGGAGGGGGGAUGGCGGAAAGAAAAGCUGAACAAAGAGGCUAGACGAAACAGAGGGAGCAUACGGUUGGGGUUGGAGGAAGAACUGAAAACAACUGAAAGGGAGAGCCGAGAGCAAGAGGAGGAGAAACAACAGAGAGCUGUGCAAAAGGUUAGAGCUUUGAAGAAAGGGAAACCAGGGAGUUUUCAGGGGUUAAGGACUGAGAGGCUGAGCAAAAGAAACCGAGAGCUGGACGGAAUUAGAGAGGACAGCCGAGAGCAAAAGGAAAACACCAGGCAAGAGUGGAGGGUUGGAGAGCAAAAAUGACGGCCGCAAUCUGGAAAGGAAAAUACUGGAGCGAGAGAGUUUGGAGAGGAAGUUGACGGCUAAAACUAGAGAGAGUUUUGAGAGGAAGGGAAGGUCCGGGAAAAACUGAAAGCAAAAGAAAAAACACAGUAGAAAGGAGGGAGCUGGGGCUGAGGUAAAGAAACUGAGCUUGACGGCGAGAAGGAGAAUAAAGACUCCAUUUUUUUUCAAUCAAGCUUCGUACAAGAGAGGAAGCCGAGAGGAAGAAAGUCACUGAGAACCUCAAGCUUUUCUGGAUCAGAAUUGCAAAGUUUCAAGAUUGCCAUCCUUAGUUUUUGUCAUUUUUGUUUUCUUCACCCGGAUGCUUUCUGCCGAGUCUGCUAAGGUUAGACAAACCAGGUUUGAUCAGUGAUGAAUGGUGAUUUCAGUGUUUGUUUGAAGAGUGAAAUGUUCUGUGAUGAAUACUUUAAUUGGCCAGUGCAAGUAGAUGAUAAAGCUCCUCGGCUGCACUUUUUCUUUCUUAUUUUUCUUGGACGAAGUUCUUUCCGUGGGAAUCCUUGGAGUUUGAAUGACCAUACAUGGAUUUAUGUGAUGCUUAGUUUAAAAGGUCUUGAUCAAACUUUGUGUAUUUGGAAUGUGAAGUCCGAGUUUGGAAGUAAAAAAAUGCAGCAGGCCUGCACUUUCGGUUGCUGAAAUUUCCAAAGUUUCGGCAGGCUGCUGAAAAUGUCUUAUUGUUGCAGAAUUGCUUUACAAGCUUUAUAUGAAGAUUGCUUGAGCCAUCCAAUUUGCUGGUUGAUCUUAUGUUGGAAAGAGGUGUUGAGUUUGCAUUUUUUGGGGGCUGAAAUAUUCGAAGCAUGUUCCAAUCCUUUGCUGGAAAAAUGAAUGACCGAAUUGCCGAAUUUUUCUUGUAUAUUUUCCAGAAUUUUUUGCAUGAUCAUUUCCUAAGUCUUCAGUUUGUUUUGAUGGUGGUGAUUAUAUGUUUUGCUUAGCCUGAAGUUGCAGGUUUGGUUUUGAAAAUGUGUAACCCAAGUUGGGAUUAAGAAAUAGGCAUUUGUAAACAUAGAGCUGCAGCAGGUUUCCUUUUGUUUUUUUUUUCCAGAUUGCAGAAAGCUCAUUUUUUCUUCCUAAGUUGUACACUUUGCAUGAAAAAUCUUCCAAGAAACUCUUUGUUUUAGCUAUGUUUAGUUGGAAAUGGUUGAAAGCUCUGCAUGAAUCUUGUUUUUGCCGAAAAUUCCUUGGAGUUGCAAAGACUCCCGAAUGAGUUGCAGCAAAAUUGUUUGGCCGAAAAGUUGCAGCAGCAACAUCGACUAGCAACUUGCAGAAAAUCUUAGUUUCCUCAUGGGCCUUGCAUGAAAGUUUUUCCAGAUUGUGCAUAACCUUCCUCUAAGUUGUUGCAUUCAAGUUGAGUCAUUGAAUUCGGUGGUUUGCUUUGUACAAAUGCAUCUAGGCUAAAUGAAAGAUUGCUGAAAGAAUGAUUGCUGGAAAAUUGCA